AGAUAAGCAUAUUAAGUCCUUGUUAUUUCACUAAAAAAUAUUUAUAAGGGAUGUGAGAUUACACCCAGAUCCAAAUAUUGAACUCAUUUACAGAUUUACAAAAUGAUGAUUGCAGGUUCACAUGAUAAAAUAUACAUCCUACUGAUCAUAAUAUUCCAAUUAAGCUCACCCCAGCUAGAAACCAAUGAAGAACAGUAAGAUAUCUAAUUUGGAAUUUUUCAGAGAUUUCCCUUUUCUUUUUUCCUAUGUUCAUUUAGCUCCAACUGGGACUCAAAUUGGAGAACUCACAAUCCUGAUGGCGAUUCAACUACCACUGAGUUAAAACUCAUUGAUUUAUUGAGAUUUCUUUGAAUCUUAAACACCUACAAAAUAAACAUCCAGCAAAAGCGAGAGGUGAAGCAGAUGAGGGAAGGGCUGCAAAAAUAGGAAAAACCCAAUAGAUAUAUGUACUUACAAUGCUAAAAACAUAAAAAACCAAUAAAAUUGGAAACCAUAAUGAAAGAUAGCAGCCUAUCUGAUUUCACCAAUGAUCAAAAACUUAAAUUUUUGUGGAAUUAAAAGAUCAUGAGUAAUUCACUGCCACACUAGCAAAUAUAUAUCAUUGUUCUACAGGCUAUUAUCUAAAACAAGGAAUCCCAGUG
rnacentral:misc_RNA from 1 species